UAGGUGGUUUCUUAGAUGGCUAUUAUAUGUUUUUGGUUGAUUUCGCUUGUAGGUGGUUUCUUAGAUGGCUAUCAUAUGUUUUUUUGGUUGAUUUCGCUUGUAGAUGGUUUCUUAGAUGGCUAUUAUAUGUUUUUUUGGUUGAUUUCGCUUGUAGGUGGUUUCUUAGAUGGAUAUUAUAUGUUUUUUUGGUUGAUUUCGCUUGUAGGUGGUUUCUUAGAUGGCUAUUGUAUGUUUUUUUGGUUGAUUUCGCUUGUAGGUGGUUUCUUAGAUGGCUAUUAUAUGUUUUUGGUUGAUUUCGCUUGUAGGUGGUUUCUUAGAUGGCUAUUAUAUGUUUUUUUGGUUGAUUUUGGUUGUAGGUGGUUUCUUAGAUGGAUAUUAUAUGUUGUUUUGGUUGAUUUCGCUUGUAGGUGGUUUCUUAGAUGGCUAUUAUAUAUUUUUGUGGUUGAUUUCGCUUAUAGGUGGUUUCUUAGAUGGCUAUUAUAUGUUUUUUGGUUGAUUUCGCUUGUAGGUGGUUUCUUAGAUGGCUAUUAUAUGUUGUUUUGGUUGAUUUCGCUUGUAUGUGGUUUCUUAGAUGGCUAUUAUAUGUUGUUUUGGUUGAUUUCGCUUGUAGGUGGUUUCUUAGAUGGCUAUUAUAUGUUGUUUUGGUUGAUUUCGCUUGUAGGUGGUUUCUUAGAUGGCUAUCAUAUGUUUUUUUGGUUGAUUUUGGUUGUAGGUGGUUUCUUAGAUGGAUAUUAUAUGUUUUUUUUU
rnacentral:lncRNA from 1 species